UUUUAUGCUGAUGCUGCUUUCCACACCAGCCCCUGGAGUGUCCACAGGGCAGAGCUCCAUGGCCAGCAUCUGACUGUGGAACAACACAGGGAGAAACGAGCAAGACAAGUCCUGAGGGUUCCCUUGGUCCGUGGCCAAAGUUCUUCUGGAGAGUGUCGGGCUGGUCCCGCCUGCAGAGGGGCGUUUCCUGCAGGGGCUGCUCUGAACAGGCACCUGGAGAUGCUGCAGCCCGGACAGAGCCCACUGACAUCCCAAAAAUAGCCCAAGAACAGCUGGCAUUGCCUGGGAAUGUCGGCACGUUGGGUUUGCAGAGGAGCUCAGACAGCAAUUCCUGGUGCCCAGCUCCUGGAGUUCCCACACACCCACCAGUGACAAGAACAUGAACUCACAACCAUUAAGGCCUGGCAGUCCCCUGCAGUGAGAGCUCAGCACACAUCCAGAGGCAAUUCCAGCAUCUGAAAGGAAGAAAGGAAGAAGAAAAAGGCACCUUUGCAAUCAAACUCUGAAGCUGACAAGCCCAAAGGCUCUGGAGUCUGUCUGCUCUGGAACAAAAGGAU